rnacentral:rRNA from 1 species
CAGUUCGGAUCGGAGUCUGCAACCCGACUCCGUGAAGCUGGAUUCGCUAGUAAUCGCGCAUCAGCCAUGGCGCGGUGAAUACGUUCCCGGGCCUCGUACACACCGCCCGUCAAGCCAUGGGAGCUGGGGGCGCCUGAAGGCCGUGACCGCGAGGAGCGGCCUAGGGUAAAACCGGUGACUGGGGCUAAGUCGUAACAAGGUAUC